rnacentral:rRNA from 1 species
GAUGAACGCUAGCGAUAGGCUUAACACAUGCAAGUCGAGGGGCAGCAUGGUCUUAGCUUGCUAAGGCUGAUGGCGACCGGCGCACGGGUGCGUAACGCGUAUGCAACUUGCCUCACAGAGGGGGUAACCCGUCGAAAGACGGACUAAUACCGCGUACACUCUAUGUUGGGCAUCCAAUGUAGAGGAAAUGAAAUUCGCUGUGAGAUAGGCAUGCGUCCCAUUAGCUAGUUGGUGAGGUAACGGCUCACCAAGGCGACGAUGGGUAGGGGAACUGAGAGGUUGAACCCCCACACUGGUACCGAGACACGGACCAGACUCCUACGGGAGGCAGCAGUGAGGAAUAUUGGUCAAGGGGCGAGAGCCUGAACCAGCCAAGUCGCGUGAAGGAUGACUGUCUUAUGGAUUGUAAACUUCUUUUAUACGGGAAUAACAAGAGUCACGUGUGGCUCCCUGCAUGUACCGUAUGAAUAAGCAUCGGCUAACUCCGUG